rnacentral:rRNA from 1 species
AGAGUUGAUCAUGGCUCAGGACGAACGCUGGUCGGCGUGCUUCAUACAUGCAAGUCGAACGAGAAGCUGACUCGGUCAGUGGAAAGUGGCGGACGGGUGAGUAAUAUGUAGAGAAUCUGCCCUUGAUGGGGGACAACAGAGGGAAACUUCUGCUAAUACCCCAUAUGAGCUAACUUGAAAUAGUUAUCUUGAAAACUCCGGUGCUCAAGGAUGAGUCUGCAUCUGAUUAGCUAGUUGGCGGUGUAAUGGACCACCAAGGCGACGAUCAGUAGCUGGUUUGAGAGGAUGAUCAGCCACAAUGGGACUGAGACACGGCCCAUACUCCUACGGGAGGCAGCAGUAGGGAAUUUUGCGCAAUGGGCGAAAAAGCCUGACGCAGCAACGCCGCGUGAACGAUUAAGCCCUUCGGGGUGUAAAGUUCUGUCAGUAGGGACGAAUUUUGACGGUACCUACAGAGGAAGCACCGGCUAACUCCGUGCCAGCCGCGGC